rnacentral:snRNA from 1 species
AUUGCUUCUUGGCCUUUUGGCUAAGAUCAGGUGUGAUAUCUGUUCCUAUCAGUUUAAUAUCUGAUAUGUCCUUUAUCCGAAGACAAUAUAGCAAAUGGAUUUUUGGAGCUGGGAAAUGGAAUAGGGGCUUACACCAUUCACCCCACACAUUGAUCUGGUAUUGCAGUAUCUCCAGAAAUGAUGCACCCCUC